rnacentral:rRNA from 1 species
GAUGAACGCUGGCGGUAUGCCUAACACAUGCAAGUCGUACGAGAGUUUUUAACUCUAGUGGCGGACGGGUGAGUAACACGUGAGAAUUUGCCUUUAGGAGGGGGAUAACAAUUGGAAACGAAUGCUAAUACCCCAUAUGCUUUUGAGUGAAAUGGAUUUUAUCCGCCUAGAGAGAAGCUCGCGGCUGAUUAGCUUGUUGGUAAGGUAAGAGCUUACCAAGGCGACGAUCAGUAUCUGGUUUGAGAGGACGAUCAGACACACUGGAACUGAGACACGGUCCAGACUCCUACGGGAGGCAGCAGUGGGGAAUUUUCCGCAAUGGGCGAAAGCCUGACGGAGCAAUACCGCGUGAGGGAAGAAUGCCUAUGGGUUGUAAACCGUCUUUUUUCUAGGGUAGGAAUAAAAUGACGUGUACCUGAAGAAUAAGCAUCGACUAACUCCGUG